CCCAUCGCUGCGCUCUCCAAUCUGCUCAAGGCACCUCCCCUGCCACCCUGCGGUCAGUCACCAAUCGGCAGUGAGGGCCAGCCCAGGCACUCCCCGCCCCUCUCUGGGCUAUUGAGACUUUGGAUUGGUCAAUUAGACUGUGACGUAACGCUGCUUCCUCUCUGAUUGGCGUAUCCCUCGCGGGGCGCCUGGCGCUCAUUGGAAGAGGAGGCUGCGAGGGGCGGGCCGGCACGAAUGGUGGAUCGCGCGCGCGAGGGUCUGGAGGAGGCGACGCAGCCCAGCCCCUGUCCAGGACUCGUGGGGUGAGAGGUUCCCCAUGGAAACGCGUUCAAGGGAAAUUAAGGCGGAGGAUACAAAAGACACUUCACUUGAAUGGCGGCUCCGACGGGUGUGGCCGUAGCCUUUCCCUGUGGGGUCCCUGCCGAGUGCUGCCUCCAACCCGGGGGCUGGCUGACCUGUCGCGAAGGGCCGCUGGGCGGUCUGACGGACGCCAGCGCAUAGAAUCCGUGUCCCUGGGAAAUUGUUCGUCUUUGUGGUCAGCGCCCUGAAGAAAUGGAUUUGGAUCAGUUGGACCUGAAUCCCAGAAUUAUCGCCGCAGCGAAGAAAGCCAAACUGAAAUCCACGCAGGAGGUUUUGCACUUAUCUGGACCAGACCUGCAGCGGCUGACCGGCCUCUCGGGCCCCGACGUGCAGCACCUGCUGAGGACGGUCUGCUCGC